GGAGGUAGUGACAAUAAAUCUCAAUACGAAGCCUUUGGUUUUGUAAUUGAAUUGAGAACAAUGUACAAUCGUUAUCGAUAAACAAUUGGAGGGCAAGUCUGGUGCCAGCAGCCGCGGUAAUUCCAGCUCCAAUAGCGUAUAUUAACGUUGUUGCAGUUAAAAAGCUCGUAGUUGAAGUUUAGAUGGUUUGAAGGGGGUGUUAGUAUUCGUACUAUCUGCUCUCUUUGGAUUAUCGACUUCCAGGUAAGCUCAAUAAUCCCUCCGGGGACUAUCGAGCCAGACUGGUCUUUUACUGUGAGAAAAUUAGAGUGUUUAAAGCAGACUUUUUUAGUUUGAAUAGAUUAGCAUGGAAUAAUAAGAUUGGCUUUCAUAGUCGAUUUUUUGGUUUGUUUAUGAAAGCAAGAUUAAUAGGGACAGUUGGGGGUAUUCAUAUUCAAUAGCUAGAGGUGAAAUUCUAUGAUUUAUGGAAGAUGAACAAGUGCGAAAGCA
rnacentral:rRNA from 1 species